UCCCGUGUGGCUCAGUUGGUAGAGCAUGGCGCUUACAACGCCAGGGUUGUGGGUUCAUUCCCCACGGGGGGAC